rnacentral:lncRNA from 1 species
CUAUUAUUCAAGACACCUACUUGUCAGUAAAGACGAUAAAGAUGUUAAAUAUUCUAGUGAUGCAUGUGCCAAAGAGCUGUUAACGGACCCUGUGAUAUGGUUAUAUAUAGUAAUAGUUUUAAUAAUAUUCAGAACAGUAAAUUUUGAACCGUGGUGUCUGGUGGACCAAAUGGUAUCUUUGGGAUGUUCACAACAGUUUGGAAUACAGCUGCUCUCAGUGUUUGGAUUUGCGAAUCUAGUCGGCCGUAUCUUUGACAGUGUACUGAGGUUGGGUUGUCGAUCAUUUCCAGCAAUAUGCAAUAUGUUUUACGUUUGUCCUUUAAUAGCCCUAGGUCAUACCCUCGUUAUGAAGCUACAGACCUUCACCAAUUGGAUGAUUGCUGUCUGCAUUGUACAUGAUUUUGGAUUUGGAAAUCUUGCUGCAAUUACACCGGUUGUUCUUUACGAUUUAGUAGAACGUGACAAGUUUCUUCAAGCCUUUGCCCUACUUGGCUUGGCUUGGCUAUUGGAAUUGCAAACUUACUUUGCAAUUUCUUGGGAGGUACGUCACUUCUAUAAUCGUGUGGACAUUAAUUAAUAGUGAUGCUGUAAAGAUUCCUAACUGUUUUUAAUAUAUUACAUACAACAUUUUCCGCUUAGCUGCAAAAGGAAAUCUAAUGCGUUUUCCAUAUCUAACGGAGUAAUAUAGGAAACAUAAAUAAUGUCUUCGAUGACUAAUGAAAUUGUUAAAUAAAUCAACAAUUAUUUAUAACUGAAAAAUUACAAUUUAAUCUCGUGAUUAUGAUUACAGGGAGCAUACGCGAUGUUUAUGGAACAUACGAUUUUGCUUAUGAGCUAGGGAUAGCAGCAGCACUUCUGGCGACAUUUGGUUUCUUAAUCUUGGCAUGUGUCACGAGGAAAUGCCACAGGAAGGAGGGUAUUUUACAACAAAAUUACUUGAAAACCAAGCCGUACAAAUCUAUACAUUGAACUGUUAUAUGACUUAUAUUCCAAGGAGUCAUUAAAUUGAAUUAAAUAUAUUGCAAUGAU